AGUGAACGCUGGCGGCAGGCCUAACACAUGCAAGUCGAACGGCAGCGCAGCAGUAGCAAUACUGUGGGCGGCGAGUGGCGGACGGGUGAGGAAUACAUCGGAAUCUACCCUGUCGUGGGGGAUAACGUAGGGAAACUUACGCUAAUACCGCAUACGACCAACGGGUGAAAGCGGCGGACCGCAAGGCGUCGCGCGAUUGGAUGAGACGAUGUCCGAUUAGCUAGUUGGCGGGGUAAAGGCCCACCAAGGCGACGAUCGGUAGCUGGUCUGAGAGGAUGAUCAGCCACACUGGAACUGAGACACGGUCCAGACUCCUACGGGAGGCAGCAGUGGGGAAUAUUGGACAAUGGGCGCAAGCCUGAUCCAGCCAUGCCGCGUGUGUGAAGAAGGCCUUCGGGUUGUAAAGCACUUUUGUUGGGGAAGAAAAGGCGCCGGUUAAUACCCGGUGUUUCUGACGGUACCCAAAGAAUAAGCACCGGCUAACUUCGUGCCAGCCGCCGCUGUAA
rnacentral:rRNA from 1 species